rnacentral:misc_RNA from 1 species
GGAUAGUGAUGUCAUCAGGACUCCACAAGUUGGCCUUCAGAAUGUUGGUGAGGGUUUUUCUUCAAUGCAUUCUGAAGGCACUAAUGAAGUAAACGAUGUUGGUGCCAAUCUGGAGACUUUUCUGGUAUAUCCACUAAUAUUGAACAAGAUGCAGAUAUUGACGAAAGCAACCUUGGUGACCCAUGGGUUCAGGGACUGAUGGAGGGGGAGUACUCUGAUCUGAGUGUUGAGGAGCGCCUUAAUGCACUUGUUUCAUUGAUUGGUGUGGCAAUUGAAGGAAACUCAAUCCGGCUUGUUCUCGAGGAACGGUUAGAAGCAGCGAAUGCUUUGAAGAAGCAAAUGUGGGCGGAGGCGCAACUUGAUAAACGCCGUAUGAAAGAAGAAUAUGUGAUGAAGAUGCAUUAUCCAUCAUUUACAGGAAGUAAGGUGGAACCUAGCCUCACAACAUCUACAGCAGAGGCCAAAGCCCAUUAGUUACUGUUGAUGAAAAAAUGAAUGAGAUGUCUAUGGAUGCUGCCGCCCAGCAAGAACAAUCAACUGAUCCACAAAAUGACAUGAAUUAUCCGAAUAAUGUGCCUUCUGAAGGGAACAUACAAAUGCAAGAUCUCUCUGUUGGUCCUGAUAGUCUUCCGUGUCAGCAACCUGGACUUGCUGCAGACAAGUCAAGAUCACAGUUAAAAUCC